UAGGGAGACCUAAUCCAUUUAGAAAUCGAAAACAAUGAAAAUUGUCAAUAGAAACUAAAUUGGUCUAACCUAGGUCGUUCGAGAUUGGUAGACAUCUUUCAAAGUAUUAUUCGGCUUCGUUCAAAACCAUAUAUAAUAAAUGGAAAAAGACAGCACCUAAUUGUCAAAGUUAGGCUGCUGGAUGAAGUUCCAGCCAGAACCUUGAAAACUGCAUAAGAGAACAAGAAAAAGCAGGCAGACACAGACAUUUAGAUGGAUGUGGAAGCAAAAGAAAUUGU
rnacentral:misc_RNA from 1 species